GUAGAUAUAACUCAGUGGUAGAGCGCAUGCUUAUCAUGCAUGAGGUCCUGAGUUCAGUUCCCAGUACCCCCA
rnacentral:tRNA from 1 species